rnacentral:rRNA from 1 species
CCUAGAGACUGGGAUAACUCCGGGAAACCGGGGCUAAUACCGGAUAACAGAACGAACCGCAUGGUGACUGUCGUUUUUGAAAGACGGCUCACGCUGUCACUUACAGAUGGACCCGCGGCGCAUUAGCUAGUUGGUGGGGUAAUGGCCCACCAAGGCGACGAUGCGUAGCCGACCUGAGAGGGUGAUCGGCCACACUGGGACUGAGACACGGCCCAGACUCCUACGGGAGGCAGCAGUAGGGAAUCUUCCGCAAUGGACGAAAGUCUGACGGAGCAACGCCGCGUGAGUGAAGAAGGUUUUCGGAUCGUAUUCAUCUGUUGUCAGGGAAGAACAAGUACGAGAGUAACUGCUCGUACCUUGACGGUACCUGGCCAGAAAGCCACGGCUAACUACGUGCCAGCAGCCGCGGUAAUACGUAGGUGGCAAGCGUUGUCCGGAAUUAUUGGGCGUAAAGCGCGCGCAGGCGGUUCCUUAAGUCUGAUGUGAAAGCCCACGGCUCAACCGUGGAGGGUCAUUGGAAAGGUAGGAACUUGAGUGCAGAAGAGGAGAGUGGAAUUCCACGUGUAGCGGUGAAAUGCGUAGAGAUGUGGAGGAACACCAGUGGCGAAGGCGACUCUCUGGUCUGUAACUGACGCUGAGGCGCGAAAGCGUGGGGAGCGAACAGGAUUAGAUACCCUGGUAGUCCACGCCGUAAACGAUGAGUGCUAAGUGUUAGAGGGUUUCCGCCCUUUAGUGUAGCAGCUAACGCAUUAAGCACUCCGCCUGGGGAGUACGGUCGCAAGACUGAAACUCAAAGGAAUUGACGGGGGCCCGCACAAGCGGUGGAGCAUGUGGUUUAAUUCGAAGCAACGCGAAGAACCUUACCAGGUCUUGACAUCCUCUGACACUUCUAGAGAUAGAAGGUUCCCCUUCGGGGGACAGAGUGACAGGUGGUGCAUGGUUGUCGUCAGCUCGUGUCGUGAGAUGUUGGGUUAAGUCCCGCAACGAGCUAGCACCCUUGAUCUUAGUUGCCAGCAUUAAGUUGGCACUCUAAGGUGACUGCCGGUGACAACCGGAGGAAGGUGGGGAUGACGGGAAAUCAUCAUGCCCCUUAUGACCUGGGCUACACACGUGCUACAAUGGAUGGUACAAAGGGCUGCAAGACCGCGAGGUCAAGCCAAUCCCAUAAAACCAUUCUCAGUUCGGAUUGCAGGCUGCAACUCGCCUGCAUGGAUCGCCGGAAUCGCUAGUAAUCGCGGAUCUUACUGAU